CGACGGGUACGGGUGUGAGAGCAAGAGCCCGGAGAUGGAUUCUGAGACAUGAAUCCAGGCCUACGGGGCGCAGCAGGCGCGAAAACUUUACAAUGCGGGAAACCGUGAUAAGGGGACACCGAGUGCCAGCAUCCUAUGCUGGCUGUCCGGGUGUGUAAACUACACCUGUUAGCAAGGGCCGGGCAAGACCGGUGCCAGCCGCCGCGGUAACACCGGCGGCCCGAGUGGUGAUCGUGAUUAUUGGGUCUAAAGGGUCCGUAGCCGGUUUGGUCAGUCCUCCGGGAAAUCUGACAGCUCAACUGUUAGGCUUUCGGAGGACACUGCCAGACUUGGAACCGGGAGAGGUAAGAGGUACUACAGGGGUAGGAGUGAAAUCUUGUAAUCCCUGUGGGACCACCUGUGGCGAAGGCGUCUUACCAGAACGGGUUCGACGGUGAGGGACGAAAGCUGGGGGCACGAACCGGAUUAGAUACCCGGGUAGUCCCAGCCGUAAACGAUGCUCGCUAGGUGUCAGGCAUGGCGCGACCGUGUCUGGUGCCGCAGGGAAGCCGUGAAGCGAGCCACCUGGGAAGUACGCGCGCAAGGCUGAAACUUAAAGGAAUUGGCGGGGGAGCACA
rnacentral:rRNA from 1 species